UACGGAGGGGGCUAGCGUUGUUCGGAAUUACUGGGCGUAAAGCGCACGUAGGCGGAUUGCUAAGUCAGGGGUGAAAUCCUGGAGCUCAACUCCAGAACUGCCUUUGAUACUGGCGAUCUUGAAUCCGGGAGAGGUGAGUGGAACUGCGAGUGUAGAGGUGAAAUUCGUAGAUAUUCGCAAGAACACCAGUGGCGAAGGCGGCUCACUGGCCCGGUACUGACGCUGAGGUGCGAAAGCGUGGGGAGCAAACAGG
rnacentral:rRNA from 1 species